UACGUAGGGUGCAAGCGUUGUCCGGAAUUAUUGGGCGUAAAGAGCUCGUAGGCGGUCUGUCGCGUCCGUUGUGAAAACUCGAGGCUCAACCUCGGGCUUGCAGUGGAUACGGGCAGACUAGAGUGCGGUAGGGGAGACUGGAAUUCCUGGUGUAGCGGUGGAAUGCGCAGAUAUCAGGAGGAACACCGAUUGCGAAGGCAGCUCGCUGGAACGUUACUGACGCUGAGACGCGAAAGCGUGGGGAGCAAACAGG
rnacentral:rRNA from 1 species